UCUUUCACUCCAGAGCGUCCGGGACAAGCGCUCUGUUUUGAAUCUUUGGCAUCUUCAGGGAUGGAUGGAAUCCUACAACUGAGGGAGACUGCGGUCUUGGGCGUGAGCAAGUGAGGAAAAGCGUGCUGGAGCGACCAGCAGCAAACCUCCUCAGAGAGGUGACGCCAGCUUCUUGGUUUUCACCUUAGGUCUGUUCCUCCAAGCCGGGGUGCCUUUCCCUCAUUUACGCUCCUGAGGGAUGCUCUGCUUGUAACCUUCCGCAGGGUUCCCGCGCGCGCUCCACACCUUUCCCAGUUGUGGUUUACACCCCACUGACUUCUCUCAUCACAUCCGUGUCUCCAUCACCAUCAGAUACUUUUCUCAGUGCGUCUGAAAAUGAUGGGAAAGGCUCUCAAGCAGCCUAACGAGCACACUACCACCAGCACCCUUCACAAACUGAGCCCAGAACUUUCUUGAAGAAAGGAUGCUGCUGGUCUCCCAGACCUUCCUGCUCAAAACCAUAAGUUGGAAACACUCUGCAACGUGCUGCAAAAUGUAAGUUAAUCCUUUGAAAACGCAUUUUCUAGCAUACAGAAUCUAUAUGGACAGCUGACAGUUGGCAUUGAAAUGUCCGCCUAUCGGCAGAUCACCAACAGGGAACACUUACAGCUGAGAAGCAAGAUAUAGGACUCCCUGAACCAUGUCCUGCGAGGCCAGUCUAGUAGAGGUCCCUCCCUUGCCCGGUCAUCACCAGAGUCAUCAUCAUUCCUCCUGCAGCAGAUGGGGACAAAGACAGACAACCACAGCCUGACCCUGUGCAGAAAGUGAGCGGCCAUUCUUGGAUUAGAAUAUAUAAACUUAAGUUUUAAUUUAAUGA
rnacentral:lncRNA from 1 species